GAGUUCCCCUUGUGGCUCAGCGGUAAUGAACCUGACUAGUAACCGUGAGGACACGGGUUGGAUCCCUGGCCUCCCUCAGUGGGUCAAGGAUCUGGUGUCACUGUGAGCUGUGGUGUAGGUCGAAGGCUCAGCUCGGAUCCUAAGUUGCUGUGGCUCUGGUGUAGGCCGGUGGCUACAGCUCCGAUUCGACCCCUAGCCUGGGAACCUCCAUAUGCAGAGGGAGCAGCCCUAAAAAGACAGAAAGACAAAAAAAAAAAAAAAAAAAAAAAAAAAAAAGACUGGUUAGGUAAAUCAUGCUGUAGCCACACAAUGAAUGCUGUUCAGCCCCUGAAAAGAUCGGUAGUUGAUCCCGUGUCUAACGUGCUUUUAUUUAGCUUCUGUGCCCCAAAUCAGUUUCUGGUCUCUUAGCUCCAGAUUUGCUCGUCUCGCCUGAUCUUUGAAAAUAGGUCUGAUCCUUUUAAAUGAUUGUUCUUUGUCAUCUGAGAGGUAAUAUACUGAUAACGGGCCCCGCUUUUUAAAAAACAGAAGGGGGUGGGGAAAAGAUGAUGUUUGUACAGCUCUGCAUAUGUGUGAGUAUCUUCUGGAAGCUGCAUGAAAGGGUUACCUCUCAGGGAGGGACUGGCAUCUGGCGGGAGAGAGACUCAAAGUUUCUUUUAACCGUGUGCCUGUUUUACUUCCAUAGAGAAAAAGACAAAACUUGAGUUAGACAUUAAAGAAAACUUGCAGUAACAGAGAAACAGACUAGCUGGAAAUAUGAAAUACUGUAAAGAUGUCAUUUAAUCAGAAUUAAUUUAUAGGUUCAAUGCAGUCAUGGCAGAGUUAAAAAAAAAAAAAAAAAAAAAAAAACCCGAGGUGGAGGCAGGGCAUGGUUUUUAUUGGUAAGAAGCUUAGCGUAUAGUUUGGGAGACAGAAACAUAAUGUUCACCAAAAAAAUGCCUUGAACACAGUUACAAAGCAAUAUAUCAAGAGCAAAGCAAUAAAAUUGAAUACAUAUGUAUUAUGGGAACUCAGAGUCCUUUGAGAGAAUAGAAUGGAGUUAAUCAGCAAAGGAUACUUAAAAAAAAAAAAA
rnacentral:lncRNA from 1 species